rnacentral:rRNA from 1 species
GCAGGCAAACGCUUGAAUACGUUAGCAUGGAAUAAUAGAAUAGGACUUUGGCUCUAUUUUGUUGGUUUCUAGGACCGAAGUAAUGAUUAAUAGGGACAGUUGGGGGCAUUAGUAUUUAGUUGUCAGAGGUGAAAUUCUUGGAUUUACGAAAGACUAACUUCUGCGAAAGCAUUUGCCAAGGAUGUUUUCAUUAAUCAAGAACGAAAGUUAGGGGAUCGAAGACGAUCAGAUACCGUCGUAGUCUUAACCAUAAACUAUGCCGACUAGGGAUCGGACGAUGUUAAUUUAUAAUUGACUCGUUCGGCACCUUACGAGAAAUCAAAGUUUUUGGGUUCCGGGGGGAGUAUGGUCGCAAGGCUGAAACUUAAAGGAAUUGACGGAAGGGCACCACCAGGAGUGGAGCCUGCG